rnacentral:lncRNA from 1 species
UCGCUUCUGUUAGUCCAAGAUCCCAUCCCCAACUAACUCUCUUUUCAUUACUGCAGAGCUUAAGUAGGACUUGUUAAUAGACUAUUGCAUU